AUUAUGUGUUCAAAUGUUUAUUAUAAAAUAACUAUUGUCUCAAACAAUACUACUUUUAAGGCAUAAUGUAGUAUAGGUAAUCAGUGGAAAAAUAAAAAGAAUUUGAAAAAUUUUCAUAAAAAAAUAUUCAAUUGCAUUUGCUACUGCAUCCGCUCACGGUAAAAAGAUUUCGUGACAAUCUUACUAAAAAAUGCAUUAUUUCGAAUUUUGUUAUUUAUUCUGAUAUUUUUUAUGUUUAAACCAUAGCUACUACUGCAAUAAAGAAGGCUGUAAACUAAAAUCGACAUUGGAGCACAAGAAUACCUAGUGAUCCAAUAACCGCUCACGAGGUCUUGUGUUUUCAAUAUAAAGAAUUAUUUUAUCAAAUGAAAAUAAUGUCAGACGACUUCAUUUGAAAGUUAUACAUAUUGCUAGCAUAUAUCCGUGAGAAAAAUAUUGGUUUUUGACACGAAAAAUCAAUUUUUACACAGGUGAGCGGAUACUGGUGCACUGGGUAUUACCAAAUUGGAACUUUUAAAAACUUUUGGAAAAUUUCUAAUUUUAAAAUUAAAACUAAAUCAGAUUUGUGUAAAAAGCAGCUGGCGGUAUCGCGAAUUGUAUGUAGUUUAUUAAAAAAAUAUUCAGUGGCCAUAUUAUAUUGAGUUAUGGUCUAAAACAGGAGUAAUCAUACGAUAAAAGGAUGAGAUGGAAAAUGUACGAAAAUCAAUGCAGUAUAAUUACUUCACAUAGAUUAAAAAAAAAACUAGAUAUGCUUCAAGCUGCUGGUUUGUAAUUUUCAAUAAAAAAAUAAUCAAAGCAUGGACCACUAUCAUUCAUAUCGUUAUAUGCAUGUUUUAUACAAACCAACGAUUUUUAAAUAUGCACAAAAAAAGAGUUCGUGGACGACAUUCGACUACAUACGGAGAAAGACUGUUAGUGACUGAAUCCGCGCAGGCGUGCAUUGUUGUAACAAGAUAUGAUUAUAAAAUAGAUUUUUUAUUUGUCAUGUGUUUUGCAGGUUGGUUCUUUUGGUGUCUUUUUGCAAAAGAGAAAAAAAUCCUAUUUAUGUACCAUGCUUUUUUAACAUUCUUCGGAACGCUUCGAGCACAUAAACCACUCAUACAAAUUCGUUCAAGUAAUCACUCUAUACGCAUACACAGCAAGUGAAAAAAAAAACAACUAAGAAGGAGGUUUUGUUUCUGCUUGUCCAUUCGACAGAGCCGCUAAAGGUGUAAAAAAGAAAUCACAGUGUUCACUACGACAUUUAAUUAAGGGCUAAACAUCCAGAUCUUUCCCCAACUUUGCAAAACAUCAGUGAGGUUCCAGGAAAAUCCAGUACUUAUGACACACCAUACGCGAGCAGAAAAAUGCAAUACCAAGUAGAAGCCGGUUGCGCGAUACGAAAUCCACUGUUUGAAAA